GUUCUCAAACGGCAAAUCCUCCUGGCCAUUUCGGGUUGUUUGGUUGUUGGCUUUGUUGGCCUCAUUGUCCUGGGCUGUAUAUGUUGUAAAUUAAACCGAAAGCCAGAAGAAGAACGCAAACCUGACUCAGACCUGUUUUUUUCCAUGGCUGAGCUUAAGGAUCGCAUUGGAUUGACUGGUUCAGAAUUGUGCCUAGCGGAAGUAUUU